UACGGAGGGUGCAAGCGUUGUCCGGAUUUAUUGGGUUUAAAGGGCGCGUAGGCGGCUUUUUAAGUCAGUGGUGAAAGACAACAGCUCAACUGUUGCAGUGCCAUUGAUACUGAAGAGCUUGAGUACAGAUGAGGUAGGCGGAAUUUAUGGUGUAGCGGUGAAAUGCAUAGAUACCAUAAAGAACACCUAUUGCGAAGGCAGCUUACUAAGCUGUAACUGACGCUGAGGCACGAAAGUGUGGGGAUCAAACAGG
rnacentral:rRNA from 1 species